CCUGAAGUAGUUCAGCGGAAGAACGGCUGGCUGACCAGUUGGGCGCAGGUUCGAAUCCUGCCUUCAGGU
rnacentral:tRNA from 1 species